GGAGAGAUGGCUGAGUGGUUGAAAGCACUGGUCUUGAAAACCAGCAAGGUGGCAACACCUUCCAGAGUUCGAAUCUCUGUCUCUCCGCCA
rnacentral:tRNA from 1 species